rnacentral:lncRNA from 1 species
GUGGCUGCACCGUAGCAAAGGGGGCGGGAGCGCUCGGGCCUCUAGGGUCCGCCGGGGUCGCUCGCCGGGUCCCACCUCCCCCCUACUGCGUUUUACAUACCGCAGCGUGGAAGAAGGGGGCGUCACCAGCUCCAGCCUCUCCCUGCCCGCCCCCUUCUUCCAGACCUCUUCCGUCAGCACCGAAGCUGCAGCAGGAGCGACUUGAGCUAGACACCCGGAAGACUGCUCGGACCAAGAGCACCCAGGCAGAGGAGGAGACGCGGCGCCCGACUUUGCCCAAGAUUUCCAUCAACUCCGCGCAAGAGAGGCCUCUCCCUCUCCCAGCGAGUGCGAAGCUGAGGCCGCUGAUUGCAUCUCUUCGGCGGCGUCCUCUGGGCUGGCUGUUAGAGACCAGAGAGGAAGCAGCCCUGGGCUCUCUUCAGAUGUCUCAGGGGUUGGGGUGAAGACUCGUCCACCAAAAGUGGAAGAAGCCGAAGCUGAGGAGUCAUGUCCCCGUAACUUCAGGGAAGGCGCUUCACUCCUCAAGCCUGUUUCUGCAUCAGACUACCUGCCAAUUACCCACCUCGAGGGGUCAUCAGAGAUCGCUGAGCCCUGCCAGAGGGUGCAUGGCCACGUGGGAGACAACUCAGAGUGCUUGCCACAGAUACCACGGAACACCGCUCUUCCUUUUGGUGACAAGUCACACUGCUGGUGA